rnacentral:rRNA from 1 species
CCUACGGGAGGUAGCAGUGAGGAAUCUUGGUCAAUGGACGAGAGUCUGAACCAGCCAAGUAGCGUGAAGGAUGACUGCCCUAUGGGUUGUAAACUUCUUUUAUAAAGGAAUAAAACGAGGCACGUGUGCCUUUUUGCAUGUACUUUAUGAAUAAGGAUCGGCUAACUCCGUGCCAGCAGCCGCGGUAAUACGGAGGAUCCGCGCGUUAUCCGGAUGUAUUGGGUUUAAAGGGAGCGUAGAUGGGUUGUUAAGUCAGUUGUGAAAGUUUGCGGCUCAACCGGAAAAUUGCAAUUGAUACUGGCAGUCUUGAGUACAGUUGAGGUAGGCGGAAUUCGUGGUGUAGCGGUGAAAUGCUUAGAUAUCACGAAGAACCCCGAUUGCGAAGGCAGCUUACUAAACUGUGACUGACAUUGAUGCUCGAAAGUGUGGGUAUCAAACAGGAUUAGAUACCCCAGUAGUC